rnacentral:lncRNA from 1 species
UUCCCCUCCAUGCUUUUGUUGCCGAUUGCUGCUUUCUUUCUCUCUCUAGCUCUCACUUUGUGAAAAUGAGCUCAGGGCUCCCACGAAGCUCUAGCUCUACCUCUCCAAGUCCAUAUGGAUGGCAAAACAAACAAAGGAAGAAGAAAAGAUUUAAUCUCAAAAGCAUGAAGUGAGUAAUAAUCCAAUCUGUCUCCUGUGCAGUUACUCAUCUAAGUAGUUCCUCUAGCCUUUGCUAACAAUCUUAGCUCCACAAAAGGACCUGUCUGGACCUCUUGUCAUUAGCCAACUACACAUUAGAGCUUUUUACGUUCCACAAAACUACCCCUGGCCCCAACUCACACAAAGGAGAUUAGAAUAGACUUUGUGUUCCAGGCGAGCAAAGAUGCAAGGUUGUCCUCUUUCCUCAUUUGAACAUCUAUAUCUGGCAUAAAGCAUACACCCAAAGACCUUUCUUGAAUGGAUGAACAAUCUCUCUCCCAUCCCUAAUACGAGGCUUCUUGGAGUUAUUCUAGAUUCGUUCUUUACCUCUUGCCUCAAUUCCUAUCUUUUUUUUUUCUUCUUCUAUUUCUGGUCCUUCCAAUUUUCCCUCUCAUUAUGCUCUCACUGUUCCUGCACCUCGGGCAUUUAUAGUUAACAGUUAAUUCUAUGUGACAAUUGCAUAACCUAUUUUAAGGUGUCUUCCAUCUUUAACGCUAUGGCUCCAGUUACAUUUCCAAGGAGCAUUUCUGAUCAUACAGCUCUCCUGCUGAACAUUUGUCAGAGCUUCCCAACCACCAUCCCUCUGUGGAUUUAAAGGUCCUAAGUCAUUGAUCUCACGCCUGGUUUUCAGCUUCAUAGCCUGAUAAGCCAGUGUUAUAGACUGCCUUCCAAAUGCCCUCAGGUGCAUUGGACUUCCCUUUAUUCAUCUCUUUUGAACAGCUUCACAGAAUUUUUCAACCAUGUCUCUUCUACAGGUGAAACCUGUUGCAUUAGGUCCACAUUGCUUUUUUUUUACCUCAGCCCUAGACUCUGCACUUCUGGAAGGAAGCAAGAUAAUAUAUCAGUUAGUUUGACCAAUUAAGAUGGCUUCUUAUAACUACUGGUUAGUGAAGUGGCUGAAACUCUCUGGCCUCAGAUCUUCACUUGUGAAAUGAUGAUAUCACCUACAAAAAAUGUCCUCAGCAGAUACAGAUGGAAUCUCAUACACUUUAAGUGAAUAGAACAUAACAUAUUCUUAAAUAAUAUUACUACUGUCCCUUCUGAGGACAUACCCUUGACCACAGCUCAGUUACCACACCUAUGAGCUCCCAGUCAAAAUUACAAGGAUCAAGAUGAAGAGAGGUAUGGUUUGUUUAUUGGAUGAUUUAAAACAAACAAACAAACGCUUUCCUGUUUCUCUUUUCACUUGAGCUAAUACGUUGGAUUGAAUUGAAAAGAAACUAAGAGACUGUCCAGGCAUAGGAAGAACUGACAAUCAUCCUCACUCUAAAGAGAAUUAAAAAUGUGGUAGCCGGGAUGGGUGUGCAGAAGAGUGUUGGAAGGGCUUGGAUCGUCAGAGUCUGCAGGCACAGUGCUAUAUUCCUAGACUUCUCCAUGGCUUUGUCCUUGGGCUGCUCUACCUUUCAAACACUUAUCUACAGAUGCAUUUACUAAUAAGGUAUCUUCUGACUCUAAAGUGCCUCAGAAUGUGUGGCUGUUACUUCUGAAUGGCCCCAAGUGGGUUUUUUUGUACUUGGCACUACCAACACAGCCAUUCACAGGGAGGCAGUCUCUCUAUAAAUGAACAGAUUCCCACACGUAGGCUGUAAUAUAUGCAUAACACAUUUUCUCGCGGUGUUAAUUUUGGUCUAACAUCCUCCUGAUGGUCUUGAUUACCUUGGAGACUUACAUCCUGCCUUCUGUGUAUAUGUGGUUGUUAGUCACUUCUACCAAGUUGUCUCACCACCACUUCUCAAGAACUAUAACACAAGAUACAAUGUUUCAAUAACUGAUUUUUUUUUUCAACAAAUGUUCACUGGAGCGCCUGUUUCACCACACUGUGCUGAGGGUUAGUCCAAUUUAACUCUCAUGUAAAAACAGACAAACUCUAUAAAGAUCCAACUAGCUUUAUAUUAAACAUAACCAGGACCAUUUCAAAAUGUUAGUUUCAUUGAAUAAUUUCUUAGUUUACAAGUAAAAUGUGAUUAUCUUAAAAAAGAUCACCUCCAAUUGCUUCAUUCUCUCUGUCUUAAUAAUUGGGCAUCCUAGGUCACAUUUCUAUGACUGCCAUUCAAACAGUACAUGAAUCAUUAAGUAUCCCGAGAAUGUAACAAAUAAAUGGAAAGCUAGCAGAGGGAGAAACGCCAUUUGGGAUCACACAUGGACGCUGAAACAUGAUAGACACUAAUAAUUUUUAAUUGGGAUCAUCAGAGGCUCUCUCAACUUUGCCUACUUUAUUCAUGGUGUGCUAAUCAAACGGAGGCUGGGCACGGAUUCUCGGUAAAUGGUCGAUGCUGUGACAAAUAUCCAGGCAUCUGGUUAUGUCAGAUAUCUCCCUUGGGGAAUUAAAAUGAAACAAGAAGUGUUUUUGUUCUUAAAAAUCUGUACUCUGCUAGAUACGAUCCAAAAAGGACUUAAACAUCUCAUCUAACUUUUACAAUGCUAUGUUUCCAGAAGGAAAUUAUAUUACAUUUGUCCAUUCAAAAUGCAAAAAGCAAGACAUCCAAGAAAGAGAUUUGCAGCAGAGUGAGAUUUAAAAGACACAUUUUCCCCCUCCAUUACUGGAGAUAGCAAGCACUUUAAAAGCCUGUUCUUUCAUAAUUGGAUUCCAGAUCAUUAUUUUUUUGGCCAAAACGAAAGGUUUUCUGCAUUCUUAAAAUAAUUAGGCAAGAUUUCAAAUCAAAUUAUCCAAUUUCAAAGCUCUAUUUUUCCUCUCUAAAACUCCCGUUAGAGGCCUGCAGUGACUAAGCUGUGUGUCACUCUCCUGGCUUUAUUAGGAGAAUGUUCUGAGUCCUUCACUUUCUAUGUAAUCAGAACUAUAAUUUCUUCAGGUUAUUUUAAGAACUGGCUAUGGCUAAAGCAGGAAACUCAAUUUUAUUCUGAGCUCUAGACAUGUCGACACAGCAGCGCAAGGCUCCAGCUUCCUCGGCUAUCUUCUUUCAGAAACCCUCUUGCCUCGGGUCAGAGAGAGGCUGUAGGCUAGUUGCAGCCCAUUCUGCAUAUCCAGUUAACUCUCUCCAAGAUAUGAAGAUAGUGGGGUUGCUCUUGUGGAGAGUGUGUGUGGGCAUGUCAUUACUCUCCAAAUGAGGAGCUCAUUUACCAGAGAGCACUGUCCUUGCUAACUUCCACUUGAAAGCGAUAUUCAACAGAAGGACAUUUGAAAAAGCCCAGGUGCUAGAACCAUUUGAUUAAAAGAAAAAUAAAAAAGCAG